CACCUGGAGCUGGGCUUCUUGUUGCCCAGGUGGUAUCCGUUCUCGCAGAAGAUCCGGAGGACGGUUUUAUAAGGAAACCCGCGGCAUGGAGACGGGUCGCAGCGGAAACCUCCAUGUUCUGGUACCAGAGGGUGAGAGCAGUUCAGCCGGCCUGCAGAGAGGAGCGGGGAGGAGACCAGGAAGAGUCCACAGACGAGACAGAUGCGUCCGAUCGGCCAUGAAUACUGGACUGGCGCCGACAUCAAACUUCCUGAAGAGUUAGAGAAAAAUCCCCGACAUACUUAAUAUUUUCACACCAAGUUAUUCAGAGAAUCAACGCGCCUCUUAGGAUAUUUUUAAAUCUAAAAAUCUAAGACCAAAGAGGACAUGUUGGUUUCUGGUGUCUCAACAGAGACUCUUGUUUCUGGGCAACUGAAACACUAGAGUAGCAGAAAACACAUAAAACCAGAGCAGGAGGUUCUGAGGUUAUUUCACAAGAACUCUGAACAGACUAACAGAAACACACAGGCAAAAACACGGCGCUAGCUACCGCAGAAGCUAACGUCUACAGUCUUCAUCGACAUUAAAUCUUUAAAGAACUUGAAUUAAUGAGUUAUAGCAAAUUUUAAUUUCCCUUUGGGAUCAACAAAGUAGUUUACACUUUUCCACAAGCAUCCUGGGAGUCACAUAGAAAAGGGGGAGGAGCUAAAGCCUUCCUAGCAUGCAAGCAAACCAGAGUCUAAGCUUUAACGGUCACUGAGCUCCAACCGCAAACCUCAUCAUGACAUAUUUUACCCACGAGAGGCAGGCGGGUCUGCUGGUCCCACAUCUGAAGGUCUGUGAUGUUUAUAGUGUUUUAUCUGAGGCCUGCGGCAGGUUAUUGAUUUCAAAGUAAAGCUAACCGUCUUUAUACUGGCUGCAUGAUUUAGCAGAAACGCACUAAAUAGAGCAUUUCAUGGUAAAAAUAUCAAAAUAAUAACAUUUGGGAACACGAGUGUGAGAAUACCAAAAAAUAAUAUAUAUAUAUAUAUAUAAAAUAAAAUGUUUAUUCUCUUGUGUUUCUCCAAGUAGAACAUAUGCAAGAAGUUUUAUUAAAAAUGCACAAUAUAUUUUUCUUGUACAGUUUUGACUUAAUUAGUGCUCUGAAUGUGUUAUUUAAGCAAAGUGCCUCUUUUUUAAGUCUGUAUACUCCAAUUAACAAUUAACUGACUAAUUGACGAUUAUUUGAAUUAAUUGUUUCAGCCCUAAUUUCGUCAUUUGUAAUUUCUCUACAAAAGAAAAAAGAGAAAAAAUUAUUCAAAUCGGAAAUCCAAUCUGCAAUGGCAAAAAGAUUUAUUAUUUCAACACUACUGUUUCCAGAUCAACAUUUUCUAUUUUUCUUUGUAUUUGUGCAUUUACUGCUGACCUUUGCACCUCAUCGGGCCGCUCACUGGAUCCGAGUUACGUUCAAAAUCAACAAAUAAAAAAAUGAAACAGAUUUCAGCCCCUAAAAUGUUUCUGCAGCACAGAGAAAAUCAACCCUGAUAAAUUUCCCUUUUUAUUUCAAUUAAAUGGAUGCAAAAUUAUUCCGAAGAGCUACUUUAAGCUUCUGCAGUUAAACUUUGACAUCUUCUCCACUUCAACAUGAAACCCAGCCUCGCUGCAACCUUUCAGCCGACUCAAAGUGAAACCCCUCACCUGAGAGUGUUUACAGUUUCGACAGAGCCCAUAUUGACCGACACUCAUCUGGAAAACAUGCAGGGCUUCUGAGGUGAUGGGUUUCUGCCCCUCUCUCCUUCAUUCCCAGACAAACGCAGCCUGUGAAGCGCCAGACCUCUGCCAGCGUCAAACCAAAUGCCACAGUGUGUGAAAAUGUGGGUGUGUGGGAGUGUUUUCGCCGCCUUCGGUGUGUGUGUUGGGAGCUUUCAUGUCAACAGGGAUGCCAGUCAUCCUAAGAGCAGCGGCGGGGAGGGCCCGGCGCCACCGCAGCACGAAUACGCUAACACCUCCGUCUGAUGCGACCGCGACCUGCGUGGGCGCGCCGCGUCUUACUCAGCGCUGAUAUUAGGCCUCCUGCUGUCAGAACCAGGCAGGCUGCAGAAUUUAAGCCACUGAUCAAACAUUAAAAAUGAGAAAAUUAGCAUCAAAUUUGUUUCGGCUGUAGGAGAAAAUGAUUUCCUUCGUCUCAAAUUCAGAAUAAAGAACAACAUAAUCUGCGUCGAGUCAUAAAUGUCAGAUUUCCUGCAGACUUCAGCGACACUCAGCCACGAACGAGACGCUGCUGCUAUUCAUGCAAGUUGUGCUGCAUCAGCCUCUGCUGUGACAAUUCACGUUUCCAGUAGAGCUGCAACUCAGCUGGCUUAGUAAUCAAUUACUCUGAUGAUUAAUCGAUUAUUCUAUCAAUUAAUUGGAAGAAAAAAGGUUCAUUCUGUUCAUUUAACAACUAAAGCUAAUUUUUUUUACAAAAUUAUAUUAAAAUAUGCAAAUAAGCUAAUUUUAAAAACAUUUUAUUGCCUAAAAUGUAACAGCAGCAUUUGUUUAGUGAACGAUGAUCAUUUGGAGCAAAGGAUGCAUCUGCCACUAAAAUAAUAAUAAUGUUGACUAAUCUGUUGAUUUUCAAAGAUAAUAAUAAUUUAAUAGUAAAAGGUGAUUAAUAUGAGUUGGGUUUUUUUACUGAGUUUGAACCAGAUGAAGGUAAAACUGCAACCAGAGGAGUUCUGCGUAGAACAUAUUAACAGACAAAGAAGAUUUUUCUCAUCUUAAAUGCAAAUUGUUUUUAUUUUUUGUAAAGUUUGGCUUUAUUGACUGACUGUGUUCUUUAAGAAAAUGCCCUUUUUUAGAGUCCGUACUCCAGAUAAAGAUUAACCAAUUACUAAAUUAGUUGACGAUUAUUUGAAUAACCAAUUAAUCAUUUCAACCCUAAUUUUCUUUCAUCUGUAAGGUUUUAUCUAGAGAAUAAGUGAAAAAUACAAAGGUUAAAACAGGAUCUGCAUAACGUUUUACUGAUUUCUCUCGCAUUAAAAGUUUUCAGCACAUUGAUAUUUCCUCCUGCAGGGUUUUCACUCCGGCCGCUCUGGUUAAGGAAACCUGCGACACACGUCAUCAGGCUGGAUGAGGAGCAUCAUUUGCAGCUUUGAUGGCCUUUUCUAGGGAAAAAAAACAACAACUUCCGGGACACAGGAAGUGAUGCGCUUUGUUUCCAGCCACAACAUUCGACUCGUUUGGAACAAACACAGGAAGACGAGACGCAGCGCGAGCGAUGCUGCUGCAGACAAGAAGAGGAGUUAGGAGGGGAAAACCCUGAGCAGGAAGAAGCUGCAGGACGGACAGCAGAGCCAAGCCGGCUCACAUCUAACAAACUGCGUUUAUAUCACACCUGUAGUUUGUAACAUCUAUAAAAAUAUAUAUAUUUUUUUCAUUGCAUAUUUGUUAAAUCUGUCACCAUGUUGUGACAGUAUUAUAUGAGUCAGAUAAUCUGUGAAAAGACAGAUCUCCUACACCUCCUCCCUGAGCUGCUGUUGCCUGAAGAAAUGUACCAAAAACCACCAAUCAGAGGCAGGAGGAGGGGCUUAGCACUGUCAAUCAACCGGAUGUACUCUUUGAAAAAUGUCCUAAUGGUGGAGAAGCAACUUGUAUUUUAAAGAAAACGAUUUAUUCCGCCGUCAACAGUGGCUAUGCCAAGCACUGACGACAUGCUAUGCUAGCUGCAGCGUAGCAGAGAGCAAGGGGAAUCUGGAGGUUGAGCAGCACCACACUAGAUUGUGAUUGACAGCACUAUAACCCACCUCGUAGCUCUGAUUGGUUGGUUCACAGAUUACCUUGAAAUUGAUCAGCCGAAUAACUAAUAAACUGUUUAGAUCC